rnacentral:lncRNA from 1 species
GGACUGUGUGUAGGGUCUGUAGACCAGUGUAAAGGUUUGAGUUUAUUCUGUGUGAGAGGGAAAGAGCCUCUGCAGGGUUUGGGGCUGAGGAGUAUUAUGGGCUGAUUUAUGUGUUUAAAGGAUUCUGCUAGUCAUUGUUUUGAGAAUUGACAAUUGAGGGCCAAGGCUGGAAACAAGGAGACCAUUAAGUAGUCAUGGCAAUAAUCCAGUGAAAAACUAUAGUGACUUGAACAGGGUUCCAGCAGGUAAAGACUAAGCCCCCUGAAAAAAUGGAAUUACCAUUUAUAGAAAUGGAGAAGGCUGGGAUAGGAGUAGUUUGGAGGUGAAAAUCAGAAUCAGUUUUGACAACAGAAAGUGACAUCUUGCUAAAAGAACUCAUCAGCUUCUUUCCUGGGGAUGGCAUCUCCUGAUAUGUUUCUAUGGAUGACCUUGACCAACCCCGGGAGAGAGACAUUCUCUGCACAGAAGUGAUGUGCACAGAAGAGAUGGAUCAUCUCACAUGGUGCCCUCUGAUACCUCAGAUAGAGCUCUACUUUGACCUAUGCAGAUCUCCCCUCUUAUCUGGAAGUCCUGUCCCCUGUGUUGAGGGGGAAGAGCAUUAUCCAGUGUAAAUAGAUUAUCGUGGAACAAAUCCCCAAAGAAACUUUUUAAAAAAGCAUCUAAAAGGUAAAAUGAAAAACAAAACCGUCCUAUUUGCUCCCAACAUCUUUUUUUCCCAAAAAACAAAAACAAAAACAAAAA